UAGGAGCUGCCAGUAGGGCUUGUGAUGGCGCUGUGGAGACAGACACAUGCAUCUUUCAGGAGAGGAAGAAUGUUUCUGAAUUAUUUGACGACGCACUGUUAAGAAGACGGGGUCUGACAACGCAGGCAUAAACUUUGUGAGCGAGUUAAAGAUAAACUUUUUUUAUCUUUCAUUUAUUAAUGUGUAAGCCUAUAUCUUAAUGUAUUAUCUUGAAAAGUUUUAAAUGUGUGUUGAAUAUAAACUCCUCUUAGGAAUUUCACCAUUCAAUGUGAAUUUAUCUGAGAAUAUUCUUAAAUAAGGAAAUUCAGUGAUCGUUCCUUGGCUACGUCGUCAUCCAAAAUCCUGUGUCGUGAAUCAGCACUAAGACUGACACUUAAUAUUUAGUCCUACACUUCACUUAAAUUAGGACUAUGGUGCUUGAUAACUAACUUUUAAACUCAGCUUUGAGCCAAGAAGUUUUUUACUCUUAAGUCAGUUCUUAGCAGUGUUCUUAUGAGUAAUUCUAACAAGCUUGAUAAAUACGGGCCCUGAUCUUGUAGUAUGUCAGAAUCACAGUGAAAUUUUUAUAGAAAGUUGGCACAGGAGGUGAAAAUAAUACCCUCUGGGCCUAUGCUGCGUGUAAUCCUUUCUCUCUCUCUCUCUCUCUCCCUCCCUCUCUCCCACAUUUCCUGUCUCUCUCAUCGGCUGUUUAAUCAAAUAAAGGCAAAACACCUCCCAAAAAAGAAAAGAAAACCUCUGUCUGUGCUCAAGAAGCCACCUAGGCCUGAAUACUUAUGUAUUUCAGGAGAAAGGAUCAGCCCCAUAUAUGGCCAUCUAGUGUGGAGGUGCUUCUAAGCUGCUGUUUGUGGAAACUGCUGUAACUCUCUUCAGGGCUCUUUGUGUGGACACUGGUCACAGCUGGACAGAUAUGUAUGUGCAUGACAGUAUGUGAGCAUGUGCAAGCAAAGUAUUCAGUUUUGGCCUAGGCGGCUUCUCAUAAAGUCCCUUUUAGAUUAGAUCUCUGUUUUUUGAAAUUUAAUUUAUACACGUCCAGAUCUGUUUUGCAUUGGGUCCAUUUUAGAUCAUUUUGGGCAACAUUUUUGCUCUAGAGCUUAGCUCUACAUGUAAAUUUGUCUUUAGCAUACUCCUAUAUAUCCUUCAGGAGUGUGGGUGUGAAGAUGGUGUGUCAUCCUGUUUUCCUGGAACUGGUUUGGUUUUAAGGCUGGUAGUGAUAUUAGCCUGUACGGCUUGAAUGCCUCCUCUAGCUCUGGUCAGCUGCUCUUCUUUUAUUGUAGGCAGCUCAGGUUUUAUUUUACGGUUAAAAAAUUAUAUGGUGAAACCCUAAAUUGUUACACUAAAUCACGCAACAAAUUGUCCCUGUAUGAGCUCAAGCGCUGUUCCCCUGUUGCAUCCCAGGUGUGUAGCAUCACUGACUAAUUAUGAGUCAGUGAUUCCAGUCUUGCCCCCCAUGUGCAAACAGUUCUGAACCCAUGAUUCUGAUUGAAUCGCUUCCUGCACACAUCUUAACAUACCAAGAUCUACAAUCUACCACUGCUGCGUAAACAGAACUGACAGGAAGGCAUGCUGAGAGAGAGCCAACUAACCUUUCAUAUACCCUUCAAACCCUGGCAGCACUGAAGUGGACGAAGCAGAUCACCACCUGGUGCUUUCUUCCAUGCCUAAGCCUGCACGCUGUUCCUGCUCUUGUGGCUUACUUAACAAGGUAAUUUCAAUCUUAUCAA